rnacentral:rRNA from 1 species
UACGUAGGUGGCGAGCGUUAUCUGGAUUUACUGGGUGUAAAGGGCGUGUAGGCGGGAUUGCAAGUCAGAUGUGAAAACUAUGGGCUCAACCCAUAGCCUGCAUUUGAAACUGUAGUUCUUGAGUGCUGGAGAGGCAAUCGGAAUUCCGUGUGUAGCGGUGAAAUGCGUAGAUAUACGGAGGAACACCAGUGGCGAAGGCGGAUUGCUGGACAGUAACUGACGCUGAGGCGCGAAAGCGUGGGGAGCAAACAGG